GAUGAACGCUGGCGGCGUGCCUAAUACAUGCCAGUCGAGCGAACAGACGAGGAGCUUGCUCCUCUGACGUUAGCGGCGGACGGGUGAGUAACACGUGGAUAACCUACCUAUAAGACUGGGAUAACUUCGGGAAACCGGAGCUAAUACCGGAUAAUAUAUUGAACCGCAUGGUUCAAUAGUGAAAGACGGUUUUGCUGUCACUUAUAGAUGGAUCCGCGCCGCAUUAGCUAGUUGGUAAGGUAACGGCUUACCAAGGCAACGAUGCGUAGCCGACCUGAGAGGGUGAUCGGCCACACUGGAACUGAGACACGGUCCAGACUCCUACGGGAGGCAGCAGUAGGGAAUCUUCCGCAAUGGGCGAAAGCUUGACGGAGCAACGCCGCGUGAGUGAUGAAGGUCUUCGGAUCGUAAAACUCUGUUAUUAGGGAAGAACAAAUGUGUAAGUAACUAUGCACGUCUUGACGGUACCAAAUCAGAAAGCCACGGCUAACUACGUG
rnacentral:rRNA from 1 species